rnacentral:rRNA from 1 species
CCUACGGGGGGCUGCAGUGAGGAAUAUUGGGCAAUGGGCGCAAGCCUGACCCAGCAAUGCCGCGUGCAGGAGGAAGUCCUUCGGGAUGUAAACUGCUGUCAGGGGUCAACAAGCAAAGGGACCUAAUACGUCCUGGCGUUGAGUCGCCCCAGAGGAAGCCUCGACUAACUCUGUGCCAGCAGUCGCGGUAAGACAGAGGAGGCAAGCGUUGUUCGGAAUCACUGGGCUUAAAGCGCGUGUAGGCGGCUUGGUAAGUGUCGUGUGAAAUCCCAUGGCUCAACCAUGGAACUGCACGGCAAACUACCUAGCUUGAGGUCGGUAGAGGUGCCUGGAACUCUAGGUGGAGCGGUGAAAUGCGUAGAUAUCUAGAGGAACGCCAGAAGCGAAAGCGGGGCACUGGGCCGAUUCUGACGCUGAGACGCGAAAGCGUGGGGAGCAAACAGGCUUAGAUACCCUUGUAGUC